AGCCUUGUGGUGUAUUACAUGUUGGAUUGCAAAUCCAAAGAUGCCGGUUAACGCCGGCCGGGGCUU
rnacentral:tRNA from 1 species